AAAAAGACAAACCGUAGAUUCCCGUGCCAACGUUUGACUGUUCGUCUUAUAUGAAAUUUUUUUAUAAUUAGUAUUUUCAUUGUUGUUAGACGAUAAAACAUGAUUAAUACUUUAUGCGUGACUUAUCUUUUUAAUUUUUUUUCAAAUAAGACGAACGGUCAAACGUUGAACACGAAAAUAUGGUUUGUCUUUUU
rfam:Oryza barthii chromosome 3, whole genome shotgun sequence.